CCUACGGGAGGCAGCAGUGGGGGAUAUUGCACAAUGGGGGAAACCCUGAUGCAGCGACGCCGCGUGAGGGAAGACGGUUUUCGGAUUGUAAACCUCUGUCUUUGGGGACGAAUUGAGACGGUACCUGAGUAAGAAGCCCCGGCUAACUACGUGCCAGCAGCCGCGGUAAUACGUAGGGGGCAAGCGUUAUCCGGAUUUACUGGGUGUAAAGGGAGCGUAGACGGCAGUGCAAGUCUGGGGUGAAAGGCGGGGGCUCAACCCCCGGACUGCUCUGGAAACUGUACGGCUGGAGUGCAGGAGAGGUAAGUGGAAUUCCUAGUGUAGCGGUGAAAUGCGUAGAUAUUAGGAGGAACACCAGUGGCGAAGGCGGCUUACUGGACUGUAACUGACGUUGAGGCUCGAAAGCGUGGGGAGCAAACAGGAUUAGAUACCCCGGUAGUC
rnacentral:rRNA from 1 species